rnacentral:lncRNA from 1 species
CUGGGUAUGUGCAUUCUUGGUCCUUUCUUUGAUUCCCAACCAUGCCAUAAACCACUGAGCCUCCAAGCAAGUACAAAACCAGUUCCAUUUCUGAAAAAGGGAAAAUAACUUGCCUCAAUCAUGUGCAGUGUUUUUCAUUGUAAGUUUUUUCUUUUUUUGAAACCCACUUUGAUAUCCUGGACCUCCAGAUAAAUUCCUGUUUCUCACAGCUCAGCAUCCAUUUGCAGUGAGAUCAGGACAGCAGCCAUCUGCACAAUGGAGACCAUGUGUUUCAUUUACAUUCCAGAUAAAUUAGGGACCCAAUCAAUUUGAAAUCUGGCCUGUGUACUUUUGAACUACAGAAAUAUAAAACUAGGGCAAAGGGCACAGCUCAGUUGUAGAGUGCUUGCCUCACAAGGCCAUAGGUUCAACCUAUAGCACUGAAAAAAAAAA